GCCUCCAAUCCCCUUUUCCUCCUGCCCCCAAUCCCCUUCCUCCUCCUCUCGCCGCAGCCGCCACCAACCAGCACCUCCCACCUUGCUCUCCCUCCAUUUCUUCCUCUUCCCAGCCCGGCCCCCAACCUGCACGUUGAUGUCAUCGUCUCCAUCGAGCUCUGCCUCCUCGCUUUUCCGUCGGGCACGGAGCAGAUGAAGGCGCCAGGUAGAUGGCGGGAGCUGCAGGAGAACGUCGUCGUCCUUAGCGCACGGGAGGGGGUGCAGGAAGUGCCGCUGCUGCUGGCCCUCCUCCUCAGCUUCCGUACGUAUGCAGGCCAAUUCCUCGACUCCGUGGCGAGCAGCAGCCGCAGCAUCAGCACGGCUCUGGCUGCACGUUGGAGCAAGUCCAGUUAAAAAAAAGCAGUUGAUAAAGGCAUCGAGUAUAAGCACUCCGGCGCCCUCUCUCCAUGUUCAUGAUACCUGACUGGAGUUGGAUGUCUUCUGUACUAAGAUGGAGCCAAGCAGUCGAUUUGGCCAAUCCUUGAUUUUUGAAUUUGUUAAUCAGUUUUUUUGCUAACUCAAUUUUUAGACUGAGCGCUAUUGGUGAUUAUAUUUUCUUUUCAUUCUUUCUUUACAUGUAUUCUGAACUUUUGAUCUGGUGGUGUUGUCAUGGCCUGUGCUUUCGAAGGCCGACGUACCCGAUCCUCCCGGAGAUGGCUUAGAGAGGCUGGAUAGGUCCACUCUCUUUUGGACGGAGUCUGGUUCCAGCAAUGAGUUUGGGCUCUGCUUCCUCGGGCUGCUUGCGCCGCGUUCUUCUGCGUCAUCUCCCCGGUCACGGCGGCGCUCUCGUCGUGCAUUGCAGGCUCGUGCAGCUAUGCGUGGUAGUGGUGUAAGGGGUGGCCGUCGCCUCUACAUCACCGCCAGUCUCCUGCAGCUUACCUCAAGUUACCUCAAGUUAGUAGGUUUUACCAUGUCAUGAACUGGGUUAGUAGGUUUUACCAUGUCACUGUCAUCUUACCUCAAGUUUAUACAGAAUUCUGUAUUUUUUCAGCAGCUUAUCUUCCUUUGUUCCAAUGUCAGACAACAACAGUUUGGUAGUACAUGGAAAUAGUACAGAAUAUGAUGUUUUUUUCGAACUUGGGAGAAAUUGCAUCGUGCAAAGUUUGUUGAUAAUUAGUCCAAGCCACUGCCUUUAAAAAGAUUUGCUGAACCCAGUCCAGACCAUUGCAUUUAAAAAUAUAUUAGUUGAGCCCCUUCCACUUUUGUUAUAUUUUCUUCUCAGACAGUUAUACUUGAACAACUAUGCACUCUUGAUGGCAUCCUGAUGUGUUUUUGGGUUGUACUGCCUUUUGUUGUUACAACUGUUAAUUCUUCUAUCUUAGGAGUGGACAUUGGGGCGGUGGUAGAGGAAUUGUUGUGCUACUUCAUUGGCCCCAGAUAGUGUAAGUUGUUUAGGUUGAUGUCAAAUGGUAAAGUUAUUAUUUCAACUUGAUGUCUGGAUUGCCACUUGCAUGCUUGGUCCCGAUAUCAUUAUGGUAUGGCAUGGUUCUAACUAUCCAUAUUUAUCUCAAAAAUUUACUCCAUCUUUUGCUAAACUAUUUUUUCCCAUGUAUGUGCUUUUAGUUGAAGUAAGGUGAUUGGAAUGAAUUAGUGUCACAUUGGUUAUGUCACAUUGGCAUGUUCAUUUUGAUCCUUGCUCGCCCUCUGAAAAUUCUUAAUUUCAAUUUGUUAAGGUGAAAGAAGUGUGCUAGGCUGCUGGUCUCCUUUUAUUUUGACCUUAUUUUCCUUUUUGGUUGGAUGGCAGUGAAAGAACUAUAAUUGAAGCAUUGAACAUGGCCACAUUGAAUUUACUGAAUGUUUAUGUUCCAAUUGCAGCGAGCAGGUGCUUUCUUCCCCUCCUCAAGAUUCUAGAAAUAUAGUAUAUAAUAUAUAUAUACUUUAUUAGCUCUAUAAAUUAUAGAACAGUUAAUUCCCAACACGAGGAGCACUAUAUUUCCCGAUAUGAUUCUGCUAGCAUACAUAUGUUUUUAGAAUCAUCCCUUCUAUUAUGCAUGUUCUAGGUAGAUCUCAGUACUAACUACUACUAACUACCGAGAAAAGUUGUUGUUGAUGCUGUUACCUCCACCUUAGCAGUCAUCAUGUGCAAUAUGCUUUGUUUCAUCACAGACUAACACAUAUUUUCUAUAAGUUUUGUCUUUCUGCUUUGGUUACAUACUUCAUAGGUUGUCGUGAUUUCACUUUUGUUACAUAAUUUGUUUUUAUUCUGACAAGGAUAACCAUCUCUUCUCAUUUACUGCAUGAAAAGAUCAGAUAAAAAAAGAAGCAUCUCAGAUUGACAUCCAUGAAGUUCAGACAUUUCAGGUUCAUAUAUAUUUUUAUAUAUUUGGUUUGAUACUCCAUUGUAUCCCAUAUAUAGCAGAAUUUCAGAGAACGUUGGAUAAACCUUUCUGGCAUCUCAGCCAUCUUGACUAAAUGGAUUCCAAAAUCGCUGAGACCUCAGAAAUGACUUUCCUGCGUGGUGCUCCACUUACUCAGCAUGGAGAAGCUCGUGUCCACUAGAGGACCUAGCCGCAAAGUAUAUGCUUCUUACUUCACAUACGUCAAGGUACCAUAUUUUAUCUUUGCACUGUUGGGCAAGGAUAGAUCAGACCUCGUGCUCGGUUGUGCAAUAAAUAUAAUUGGAAAAACAUAUUCUGAGUGCAACAAACGAAAUUUCAAUGAUAAUUUUGAUUUGACGGUUAAGUUUUCAGUGAAAAUAUUGGUACGCGCAGAGUUUAAAAACAAGGCUGUAGUGCUUGCUGAACUGAUUUUAGCUCAAAGUACAGUGCACGAGCCACCCUCUUAGGAAGCGGAUUGACAUGUCAUCAAUGUUUAAAAUAGCCAGCUACAGGAUAUAGCCGCGGUCUCCCAAAACAGCUAUAGUUCGGCUAUAGCCUGGCUAUAGCUGGCUAUUUAAGAAUUUUGAUACCUUUUAGCGGGCUAAUGCAGUUAGCUGUACCAUGCGGGAAAGGCUAUAGCUGGCUAUUUUAAACUAUGCAUGUCAUAUAUCAUCUUAUGUUCUUGGUGAAAUGACAAUGGAUGGAAGUCUGCUUACAGAUAAGUGUACUAAUUUUAGGAUAUUCAGAUACUGGUUAGCUCAUGGCAUUGCUACAUAUUUUAAUGGUUAGUACUUCAGUUCACAAUAGUCCGCCUUUUUAUUUACAUUCUGCACCUGCUGAUUUAGUGUUUCGCGAAUGGAAAUAUUAACAUAAAUUUCUGAACCUUUUUAGGAUAUGAGCGAAAGAAAAUGCUAAUUAUACUUUUGUAGAGAACAAAUUUCUUCAUCGCAAGGCCAGAUGUUUUCUGUACUAUUCUACACAAGCAGAUCUCCUGCAGCUGCCUCAGUCCAUCUUUGUCCACAUCGUCCUCGUAUGUGUAGCCACGAGCCUGCAUGUUGAUCCCAGGUGCAUCUCUUUCGAUGUCUCUCCUUAGUGUCACACCCACGGUUCAGCGGCGAGGCAGAGCUGACUCAAAUAGAGACCAAGAGACUUAUAUUUUUCGUCCAAAUAAGAAACAAAAUCCGAGGAUGUAUGUGUAUCAUAAUAAUAUUGUAGCAGACCUCACUUCGAAAUUGUUUUGUCUGAGAAAAAUGCAGACACCCUGCAAAUCUGUGUAGUAUAAAAGAUUAAAAAAAUCACUGUCUCAUUAUUCUUAACGACGCUGUGUAGUAGAAAACAUAAAAAAUUCUGACUGUCUCAUUAUUCUUAAGGAGGGAUGCUCUUCCAUGCUUUUCCUACAUUCUGGAGCAUCAUACAUAGUUUUACCUGGAACUUGAUUCAGUUUCACGACUAGGAGGUAGCAUGGACGCUAUAGGCUUCAUACAUGUUUCAGUGGAUGCAUGCCAUAGAAAUUUGCAACUGAUGCAUUAUUCAUCAUUCUGCAUGUUGCUGCCUCUGGUGCUUGCUGGGCUUAGGCUGUGUGUAGAUCUGCCGAGUUGCCAAAUCAUUUGAGAUUGUGGAAAGAUAUGUUUGCCCCAUACAUGUAUAUAUAUAAGUAACUACGUAUAGAAAGUUUUAUAUUGCUUUCCUUGAGCAAAAUACUCACUUUCCAGGCUGGCAGGCUCCACUAUACGAUGAAAUGUUCAAUUUUUGUUUGUAUCUUCCAAUUCAGAUAAUUCACUCUUCAGGUCUAGAUAUGAAUAUUUGGUGCCCCCAAGAUAUUUGACAAAUUUAUUGUAGACGAUUACCAGGCAACAAUAGAUCUGGUCUAUUAACCAGAUCCUGGUUUUAAAUUAUCUCUAAAUAGUCAUAAACCUGCUACCAGAAGAAAAACCAAAUAAAUUUAAAUCAAAUUACUUUUGUGAAACAUUGGUGCCUGGAGAAAUGAAAAUGUUUCGUGGUUGUUACAUCUAGGACGUGGUAGUAGAUGAUUCAGCCUAAAGGCAUUGUCCAGCACUAAUUUAGGAUGGUGAAAAGCCUUGACUUCUCACUUAGCUGAUUUCAGAAGCUAAACAUGAAUUUUACAUCAAACAUGGCUAUUUCCGGUGCUUCUUUUGUAGAAGUUGUUCAUGGUAUCUUAUACUAUCUUAUUUUCUUACCUAUGAGUGAUGAUCAGCGGUAAUUUUAUUGGUCCUGUGACAUGAUCUUCAUCUACAUCCACACAGCUACUGAAACAACCGUCUUGGUCUUAGAAUAGAAACUACAGCCUGAAUCAAGAUCAUGAACCUCUCAUAUUUAUAUAAAAUCCCUAUUUAUAUGAUAAAUGACCUGUCUGGUCCUCCAUAUUUGCAGCUUGAUGGCGGGAAAUUCAUAGGAAGACUCCUCUAAACCCAGGAGCCGAGCUUUUAUUAGUGAUAUUUUUUUAGAUCUUUAUGUUAAUUGUGAAGUUGAUUACUUUGUGUUCCUUUGCUUACAUGAAUAUGACCCUAUAAAUGUUGUGAUUUAGCCGUACUUGGGCCCAUUGGAUUUUUCCUUUUGGAACAUGCAAUGGAACAAUAUAUUACAACAUGCUGCUUAACUUUUUUCCAUUUGUUAUCUACAAUAGUUAUAUCAUGGUAUUGUGUAGUCUAAAUAAGAUUGAUGUUCAGACUAUUCCGAUAAGCAGGAUGCCGAAAUUCUAAAAUCCAGGUGACACGCAACAAGCUGCCUUGACUAAUUAUAGAACUAUCUGCUUUUGUUUACCGAGCUUUCAUUUUCAUCAGUUUUGUUGUCAAACAUGUAGAGAGUUUUUGUUUACGAGCUUCUACUGCCUUACAGCGGUGUUUCCUCUUGUUGAUGCAAGGCAUAAUAGAUUUAUAUUUUCUUUGUAUUGUGACUUCUAAAGACCAUGCUGUGACAAUUGCAUUGCCUAUGUAGACCAUGAUGCAAGCUUGUCUCAUCUGAACAUUUGAUUUAUUUGUGAGAGAAGUUAUUUCAUUAAUUCUAUCAUUUAAAUUUGUAGUGACUGUACAUACAAUUCUAUUUGGAAGAUAUGUUUUCUGUUUUUCUUUUGAUAGGUAUCAGAUGAGAAAAGUAUUUGUUAGCUUGAGUACCUUUUCUCUUUACAUGGCUUAACCUUAUAUUUUUCCCGUAAAGAGUAACGACAUAAGAAAAUAUUGAUGCACAACUUCAUCUGACCUUGCUCAGUUAAGAAACUUACGAAUAUGCCUAAAAGUAGCUCGGACAAGAACGGAUUAUUUGUAGUGACUGUAUAUACAAUUCUAUUUGGAAGCCUGUAUCUGCUUGAUAUCUUCUUCCUUUUAGAAUUAUUUUUAAUGUUUGUAUUACUGGUGGCUGCUAAUUUAUUAUGUGAGGUAGCUAUUUUCUGUUAUUGUAAAUGUAAAGAAUGAACCCCAUGUUCUAGAGAAAAUAGAAUCGUGUGUAUCAAAUCUGAAACACCGUGAAGGAUUUAGGAUUAGAAUUAUAGUCUCUCCACACAUGUUUUGCUACAUAUCUAAACUUGAAUAAACUGAUAGCAGAUGUUCAGCUGGACUUUAUUGUAGAAAAUAGACGUUCACUGCUGAUUUUUUUACAUGCUCAAUCUUAUUUGGUGCCUUACUCCCAAUUCCAUUUCUUAAAUGUAGAUAACAAACACUAUGUUCUAAAAAGUGCAGAGCCAUGUGUCUCAAAUCUGAAACACGGUGGAAGAUUUAGGAGCAGGUUUGUAGUCUCUACAAACAUACUGUGAUGCAUAUCUGAAAUCAAAGAAGCCACUAACAUGUGGUCAUCUGAAGUUUGCUUAUAGAAAAUGAACGUUUGCUACUACUUUAUUUACUUGCUCAAGCUUUCUUGCUUGAUUACUCCAGCUUCUCUUUCCUUUUGUACUCCUCAUGUGCCUAUGCAAAAGGUUGGACGCACGAUAUAUGUGUUAUUUGGUACCUAUAUUCUGUUUCUUUUUUAUAGAUGGAAAUCCUAGCGAUUCUCACUUAGUAUAUUCAGUUCCAAAUAAGAAAAUGUAUAGUGAGUACCCUGUUCAUUGGCUGUUGUUUCAUAAUAAGUUUUUUAACAGACAUAACUUGGCCAUUCGGCAAACUGUUAAUGAUAACACAUGUAUGUUAUGUUUCGAGUUUGAAAGUGUGAAUCAUCUAUUUUUUUGAAUGUGAUAUUGGUAAGACUCUUUGGUUAAUUUUUUUUGACAC